CACACACACACACCCAAGUACCUAAAUCUAUUUGUUCUAAGAAAUAUUUAAAGAUGAGAGAAAACUACCAGGUAUUGCUGAGAUUAGUCAGAGAGCACACAUCAAUGAAUUUUUUAUUCCAAAAAGGAACUUGUGCCUAAAUUAAAUAUAUAUGAUUUCUUUUUUUCCCCUUCAAAAAAAGGUCAUCUCUGUCUCCUAGAUUAAGCACACUAUUUCUUUACUGUACUGCCUAAUUUUACUAAGGUAGAGACCACAAGUCUCCAUGACCCAAAAUUUAAGUUAUAAAUAGGCUGAUUGUAUGUAUCAUUCUGAGGUUUAUAGCUUCAGUUAAUGGCAUAAGGCUCAAAGAGAUGCACACAACAUACUGAGGAAGGAUUGUAGCAGAGUCGUAGAGUGUGUGCUUUGUGUGCAGAAGGUCUCAGGGUUCAGCAUCUCCAGGUAAAAAGGAUCAGGUAAGCAGAGAUCUCUCACUUCACCUGCUGUGAAUUGGUGUGCCAUUGCCAGUUAGGGUAAACUAGGCUUCCCAACCAGGUGCCCUCCAGAUGUUUUAAAGUACAACUCCCACCAGUCACAGCCCAAAUGGCCCAAAUGCCAUUACCAACAAAAGCUUUGACAUAGGCAAGGAAGGAAAUGGCAUCUGCAGCAAAAACCAUGUCCAGUCGAUGACAUUUCCUGCCCACAAGUAUUUCAGUGUGGUAACUUUGCGGCAACAGCGAUUCCAAGAUUAUUUUCAUGAGAUGAUAAUUACAGAGACCUCAAAUUGCAUUUGUGGUAAACAAGUGGUGCAAACAAAAUAAUUCAGGGAAGAUUUGCAGAAUAAAUCAAUCCAAAUGCAUAUCUUAAGUUACCAGAGCAUAACUUUGAGCAUAACACCCCUCUGGUCUUCUCCAGGGAUCCUCUAACUUUCUGUCCUUACUGGGAAGCUCAUGCAAAUAGCAUAUGCUGUGUGUGGCACCAGUCAAAGAAAACAGAGCAGCUUUCCUGUAAAUGCUCAUCUUUGAAUCACAGAGUGACACUCCUGCCCAAAGUCCACUCAGAGUAGCAAUGGGCUAAAGCCCAGGCUAUUUCAUGACUUUUGGGGUUGGAUGAAAGCAUGCUUAAGAUUGGAUUAAUUGAGGACAGGGGGGAUCUAAGAACUUUUGGGUCAGGUGGGCUUAUCCUUAAACUGAUGUAGCUCAGUUUUACACACAUGCACAUGCACACGCACACGCACACACACACACCUUUGCUGCCUUUUCAAGCAGUGUUUGGCUACCCUUAGCAGUGUGGUGUAAUUCAGGACAGACUGCUCCAUAGGGGGAAUGAUGCUACAUUAUGGCCAUGGGUUAGCUUUUGGGAAAUGAUGCUGUAACCUGACAUAAUUUUGUUCCCAUGGGGAGGGAGUGCAUCUCCAAGUUGUUGGGAGGGCAAUGACAGGUGCUGAGGGCACCCAAACUACUGCUUGCAGUUAAUAACAAUAAAAACUUUGCUCCCUUGACUUUGAGCUAAGCCUAUCGCCUCCCAACAUUUCUUUGAAUUCACUUCCCCCUUCCUGAAAGUUGCAGAUCUCUCCGCCACCCCAACACUUCCACAGGGAACAAAUGGCCCUAUAGGUAUGUGUGUGAAUAUUCAGGCUGGCCUUAAUUUGGAGUCAUGAGCUAGACCCUUCCUCCAUUCUCACGUGUAAACUCUGAGCUGAAGAGGUCAAGACUCUCUUUCAGCCAGCAAUGUGGUUGCCUCCAAAAACAGAUGCUGGAAGCCUGGGCCUCCCUUCUAGCAUGGCUGACCUGCAUGGGUUCAGGUGAUUUCACUGAUGGGAGAAGCCUCAGCCACAGAGCAGCGAUUUUCAUCAGCGAUGCUUCAGAGUAGAUCUUUCGAUCAGACUGUGAUCUUGCCUCCUCAGAUGCCACCAGGUGGGAAGAAGGGCCUCCUGUCAGUUUGUUUUCUCUUUUAUCAUCAGAGAAUUCAUUGCAUUCCUCUAUUCAGAAUGCCUGCCUUAACUGUGCUAGGAGAAGGCAACAUACAUAAUCAGGAAACAUGACAGUAAAGUUGCAAAUCUUCAGCUUUUUUGUAUAUGAUUUGUUUUGCAUGCAUAAAAAUACACAGCUUCAGCUUGUGAGCAUUUUUAAACGCUCGGUGCCAUGUGCAAGAAGAAGCAUCACAUUUCGCUAUGUAAUUCACUUUGCUGGCACUGAUGAGGGAUGAUUUCCCCCCCAGUGUGGCAUAAUAUUAAUGUUUCUCCCUGCUGGCUUCCAAGCCUGUGGGUCAAAGCUCAUGUUUCACAACACAGAACAGCCAAUCAUAAAUCUUCUUAAAUCAUACAGAAGGCAGGAGAGGGUCACUGCAGGGAAAGCUAGUCAGUCUGAACAAAGUGGCAUUGAUGCAUGGAAGGAAGAAGAGACUGGUUUUGGAAAGGUAUUGCAUGAAGCCAUUCGCAGUCUUGAGAAGGACUGCUUUGCCUGUUUAUGUAAUACAUUACAACAGCAAUUAUCUAUGACAGGUCCCUGUCCCAAAGAGCUUACAAUGCAAAUUCUGAGAACGUGGAGAAAACAAAAGAUGAAGGAAUCAACAGUAUGAAGACACCACACCUCUUCCUUUUCAUGGUUUCUUUAGUGCUUUAUUCAACACAUUCAAGAUCCAGUAUGUUACACAGAACCGUUGAAUAGCCUUGACAGACAACAACCCCCCAAAAAUAGAUCCUGCUGACCAAUUCUCUUUGGCUUUGGAGAAAUUAUGGGUCUUGUUCCUGCAUUACAUACACAGGAUUGCUUUGGUUUUGCCCAUUUAGCAAUAAUAUAACUCAUAGCUUUUAUCCUCCCCCCAAUACUAUUUUUGGUAUAUGGAGGAUUAGUAUGAGCCAGCAUUCAGUGGCUUUUUAGUUUAAUUCCUGGUGAUCAUUUAACAGGAAUUCAUUAGGCCAGCAUCACCUCUCUGGAACCCCAUUAUGUGAAUUUGCUUUCAGUUCUCACUGUGUACAUUUUACCUGGACUUUCGCAAAGUUUUGACUGGUGCUUUUUAUCCUCUUUUCUACAGAUGGGGUGGUUUGGCAGGUAUUUCCAUCAAUCAUUUUUUUAAAAAAACCUUUGCUUGCUUUAAUUUGUUGUGCUAAAUAUGAUAUUAUCACUCUGUAGUUCUGCUUUAAAAAACACAAUGUAUCUAGAAAUUCCCCCCUUAAAAUACAGCAAAAUGAAAAAAUGCAUGUUUGUUGUAAUACACACCAAAUAAUUCAAGGAAUAGGGAUUAGCUUGAUGUUAUUUACUUUUCAGGAUCAGUUUUGAUAGGACUUAUAAGUGCCAGAACCCUUGGUUGUAAUCAGCAACUGCUGUUGCUAACAUUUUUUUUUUUGCAGCUUAAGCGAAAACAACUAUUACUCGAACCCCCUGCAGUGAUAAGUGAAUGUGUCAGUGAAAUUAUUUUAAACACUUCCAAUUCACUAAAAGUGUGUAUUUAUUCUCUGUAUUUGCAAGCUGUUCCUAUAAUUUCACCCUCUUAUUUAGUUGCCCUAUAAUAUCAAAUUACUCUUAAACCAUUUUGGUGUAACACAUAUUGCUUG